UACGUAGGGACCUAGCGUUGUCCGGAAUCAUUGGGCGUAAAGCGCGCGUAGGCGGACCUGCAAGUCGGGGUGAAAGCCCGAGGCUCAACCUCGGAACUGCCUUCGAUACUGCGGGUCUCGAGUCCGGGAGAGGUGAGUGGAAUUCCUAGUGUAGAGGUGAAAUUCGUAGAUAUUAGGAAGAACACCAGUGGCGAAGGCGGCUCACUGGCCCGGUACUGACGCUGAGGCGCGAAGCGUGGGAGCAACAGG
rnacentral:rRNA from 1 species